CGCAGCGCCUCCGCGCGCCAGCGCCGCGAUCAGCAAAAAACCAUAAAUCCAACGAGUUGGCGCAUCGGCACGCAG
rnacentral:tRNA from 1 species